GACGAACGCUGGCGGCGUGCUUAACACAUGCAAGUCGAACGCUGAAGCUUGGUGCUUGCACUGGGUGGAUGAGUGGCGAACGGGUGAGUAAUACGUGAGUAACCUGCCCUUGACUCUGGGAUAAGCCUGGGAAACUGGGUCUAAUACUGGAUACGACAUGUCACCGCAUGGUGGUGUGUGGAAAGGGUUUUACUGGUUUUGGAUGGGCUCACGGCCUAUCAGCUUGUUGGUGGGGUAAUGGCUCACCAAGGCGACGACGGGUAGCCGGCCUGAGAGGGUGACCGGCCACACUGGGACUGAGACACGGCCAGACUCCUACGGGAGGCAGCAGUGGGGAAUAUUGCACAAUGGGCGAAAGCCUGAUGCAGCGACGCCGCGUGAGGGAUGACGGCCUUCGGGUUGUAAACCUCUUUCAGCACGGAAGAAGCGAAAGUGACGGUACGUGCAGAAGAAGCGCCGGCUAACUACGUG
rnacentral:rRNA from 1 species